UUGACUACAUGUGAUAAACGGUGGAGAGAUUUCAAGUCAAGAUUGGUGACUAGAUGGAUCACUAAAACGAGGAAGGUGGCUAACGAUGAUAGGCAGCCAUACGUGAUGUAUCCUUACAUCACGCGAGAGAUAUUGACCAGUUUGUACAAAAAUGUAGCACUAAGGAGUUCCAGGCUAAAAGUGCAAAAGCAAGAGUCUCUCAGGCUGCUAACAAGCAUCCUCAUUUUUUGGGCCAAAAUCAUAUGCGGAGAUGAUUCCCAUUUGGCAAAGCAGAGGGUAUAUCCCUUCUGCUACAGCAUCAUCUGUUGACUCUUCUACAUCAUCAUUGAUUACCUCCUUGCCGGAUCGGAUAUUGCCUUGGCUUCUCGCGAGAUCGAAAAAAGAUAAGGAUGGAAAUUAUUCUUUCCUAAUGAAGAAACACAAAAGAUAAAAGAGUCCAUUGAUGAUUGGAAAAAGAAAGAAGCUGAAGUAGAGUUUGUUCCAGGUCGGAUGGAUGAUGCUCUUUCACGUGCUCUGCAGAGGAAAACCGACCUGGGCGUGUGCUAACAGCUGGGCGUAGCAUUGGGAUUACAUCUGUUUGGGGAGAUCCUGAUCGGAGGAGUAGUGCCUCAAAGGGUAAGGGCAUGGAUGAUGAAGAGAUUUAGGCAUUGGAGGCUAGAGUGAGUCAAAGAGUUAGAGAGCAGACUAUUGAAGAGAUGAACUCGAAGAUAGAUGAUAUGGUUCAACAAAGGUUUAUGGCUUAUGCGACGCAAAUGGGUUUUCCAUUACCGACUUCUUCCACUCCAGUCGUUCCUAUAGCUGUCAAUCGGGGGGCAAUGAUCCAUUUGCGGACUUGCAGAGUCAAGUUCCAUGUCGCUUGGCAAUAGCGGAUGUCUCGGGACCGAUCAUUGUAGCUGUGGGUACCGUUCAUCCACGACAGGAG